UACAGAGGGGGCUAGCGUUGCUCGGAAUCACUGGGCGUAAAGCGCACGUAGGCGGAUUCUUAAGUCAGGGGUGAAAUCCUGGAGCUCAACUCCAGAACUGCCUUUGAUACUGGGAGUCUCGAGUCCGGGAGAGGUGAGUGGAACUGCGAGUGUAGAGGUGAAAUUCGUAGAUAUUCGCAAGAACACCAGUGGCGAAGGCGGCUCACUGGCCCGGUACUGACGCUGAGGUGCGAAAGCGUGGGGAGCAAACAGG
rnacentral:rRNA from 1 species